AGCGAACGCUGGCGGCAGGCUUAACACAUGCAAGUCGAGCGGGCGUAGCAAUACGUCAGCGGCAGACGGGUGAGUAACGCGUGGGAACAUACCUUUUGGUUCGGAACAACACAGGGAAACUUGUGCUAAUACCGGAUAAGCCCUUACGGGGAAAGAUUUAUCGCCGAAAGAUUGGCCCGCGUCUGAUUAGCUAGUUGGUGAGGUAACGGCUCACCAAGGCGACGAUCAGUAGCUGGCUGAGAGGAUGAUCAGCCACAUUGGGACUGAGACACGGCCCAAACUCCUACGGGAGGCAGCAGUGGGGAAUAUUGGACAAUGGGCGCAAGCCUGAUCCAGCCAUGCCGCGUGAGUGAUGAAGGCCUUAGGGUUGUAAAGCUCUUUCGGUGGGGAAGAUAAUGACGGUACCCACAGAAGAAGCCCCGGCUAACUUCGUGCCAGCCGCCGCUGUAAC
rnacentral:rRNA from 1 species